GAGUUUGAUCGUGGCUCAGGACGAACGCUGGCGGCGUGCUUAACACAUGCAAGUCGAACGGAAAGGCCCUUCGGGGUACUCGAGUGGCGAACGGGUGAGUAACACGUGGGUGAUCUGCCCUGCACUUUGGGAUAAGCCUGGGAAACUGGGUCUAAUACCGAAUAUGAUCACGCUUCUCAUGGGGUGUGGUGGAAAGCUUUUGCGGUGUGGGAUGGGCCCGCGGCCUAUCAGCUUGUUGGUGGGGUAAUGGCCUACCAAGGCGACGACGGGUAGCCGGCCUGAGAGGGUGUCCGGCCACACUGGGACUGAGAUACGGCCCAGACUCCUACGGGAGGCAGCAGUGGGGAAUAUUGCACAAUGGGCGCAAGCCUGAUGCAGCGACGCCGCGUGAGGGACGACGGCCUUCGGUUGU
rnacentral:rRNA from 1 species